GUUUCUUAGUACCAGCCACAUCAGAAUCAGCUGAGGGAGACUUAAAAGAUAUACCUGUGCCAAAUUCCAACCCUUUACCAUUUGAAAAUUUCUGCCAGGGACCCAGGGGCAAUAGGACUGAAGCCUUCCCAUGCCCAAAGCUCUCCUCUGAGGGGCCGUUGGAGUCUGAAAUCCAGUCUCAUCUCUACAGGUCAGGUUGGACGUCCCUGGGUGGUCUAUGUUUGGCUGAAGGAAAGGGCUUCUGUUUCUAAUUCACACACAAGAGCAGAGUAUCAGCGAUAAUCUGUUCUUACAUGACAGCAAUGGAAAAUUCCUCCUUAAAAAUAACAAAAAUUUUAAA
rnacentral:lncRNA from 1 species